rnacentral:rRNA from 1 species
ACGGAAGGCAGCAGUGGGGAAUAUUGGUCAAUGGGGGCAACCCUGAACCAGCGACGCCGCGUGAGUGAAGAAGUAUUUCGGUAUGUAAAGCUCUAUCAGCAGGGAAGAUAAUGACAGUAUCUGACUAAGAAGCACCGGCUAAAUACGUGCCAGCAGCCGCGGUAAUACGUAUGGUGCAAGCGUUAUCCGGAUUUACUGGGUGUAAAGGGAGCGUAGGCGGUUUGGCAAGUCUGAUGUGAAACCCCGGGGCUCAACCCCGGGCAUGCAUUGGAAACUGUCGGACUAGAGUGUCGGAGAGGAAAGCGGAAUUCCUAGUGUAGCGGUGAAAUGCGUAGAUAUUAGGAGGAACACCAGUGGCGAAGGCGGCUUUCUGGACGAUAACUGACGCUGAGGCUCGAAAGCGUGGGGAGCAAACAGGAUUAGAUACCCUGGUA